CAGACCCUCCCUCCCAGACCCUCCUACUUCCUGGACAGCAUCCAUGUUGUUUCAACAUGGAUGCUGUCCAGGAAGUAGGAGGGUCUGGGAGGGAGGGUCUG